AAAGAUCGCAGCCUGCGGCAGCGCCUACACGGGAUUUCUAUUCACCCUGUAGGCGCUGCCGCAGGCUGCGAUCUUU
rnacentral:misc_RNA from 1 species